GCGUGCAUAUGAGGAACGCAAAAAUCGAAGUUCGUAUGAAUUAGUUAUGAUUUUUUGAAAAUGUUUCCAAAUUAGUAUAAAGCUUCCAUUUUCGGAAAUUUCCGAAAAUAUUUUCAGAAUUUCCAAAAAUGGAAACUCGGAGCUGCAGCCCCUCCCCCGACCGGAAAUCGCCUUCGAUUUUCUUCCGGCUAUUUCUUCCUCCUCCGGCCACCGAUCCUCACCAAACUUCUUCCAUUGGCUUCGUAUGGUCCUUGCGCACCUGUCUGUGGAAGCCUUGAACGGCGGCGCGGCCUGUAGCGGCGGCGGUAAGCCCGGUCCGAUUUAAGCUCGAUUUUGAGUCAACGCCGAUAUCUCGAGUUCUAGACCACCAAUCUUCAAGAUUCUUGGGCUGGUGAACUCAGAUUGAAGUUCUGAACACAUUUCAUGAAGGGAUCGAAGCGAUUUGUUGAAGUUUUUACGUUGAACGGAGCUCUCACCGGAUUCUGGAAAAUUUCAGGCGAACCCGUGUGUUCUAGGUGAUCGAUGGAUUUAUUUGGCGGUCGAUUCGUGAGAUUGUUAAUUGAGCUGUUAAGAAGACGCAGCUGGAUUAGAGCGGGAAAUCCUACAGGUCAGGAGAACCAGGACGGUGAUCGGGCUGCUUAGAGUAGUGUUAUGUGAAUUACAGCAUUAUAUUGUGAGGUUUGUUAUGCUCAUUUAGAGCUUUGCAAUUUUACUUUGUAAGAGUGAAUUGUAAUAAUUAACUCGAGGUUUUCGAGUUUUUGUGUUGAGUGGCGAGUGGUGUGUUUGUUUGUGAGAAAAAAAUUCAGAACGUAUUUGUAUUAAUUGUUUAUUCAUGUUUCGGAUUUGAAUUGGUUAUUCAAAAUUCGGGGCGUGACAGUUUGGUAUCAGAGCGUAAGGUACAUAUUUGGUGAUAAUCAGUACCUCCCGAGUGAUGGCCCGUCUGCAGCGGAUCCCCAUCAUAUACUCUUCGGUACUGGUAUAAUCAUUGGGUAUGUCUUAGUAUGGGGUCUAGACAACGUGUAAGUCCGUAGGACGGUAGAGUUGUCUACUAAGUUCGUAUUAGAAUAAGUUUAGUUUCCGCGAGUUGUGAUCUUCGAGGAAUAGGAACCUCUGGAUUUAACUCUGAUGAGUCGGUGAGGUAGAGGUCGAGUCUGAUGUAGGGACAGGAUCUUUCUAUGGAGACAGUUGAGGAUGAGGUGGAGGCAUUAGAGGUUGAGUUGCCUAGUCUACCUGUAGUUGAUGUGAUGGAUGUUAUUCUUGGGUUGAAAUGGUGAAAGAGAUUAAGACCCUAGGAAUAGUUGAAAAGAGAAUUGAUCUCACCAACUCAAGAUGAUAGGAGUGUGAGAGAUUAUGAGACAGAAUUCUCAAGACUAUAUUGGUGUACGAGUGUAGUGAUGUAAUUUGGGAGAUACUUAUGUUACCUUUAAUAAGGGUAGUAUGUUAAGUGAUCAUGGCAUAGGUUGACUUUGUAAGUGAAGUGGUGGAGUUUGUGUAGCUUCUUUGAGUUAUAACCUUUGAGGAAUGGGAACCUUUGGAUUAAACUCUGGUGGAGUUAUUGAGGAUGGUUUCCACGAAAAACAGUAUCCUUAUGUGCAUUGUAGUCGUUGG